GACGAACGCUGGCGGCGUGCCUAAUACAUGCAAGUUGAGCGCUGAAGGUUGGUACUUGUACCAACUGGAUGAGCAGCGAACGGGUGAGUAACGCGUGGGGAAUCUGCCUUUGAGCGGGGGACAACAUUUGGAAACGAAUGCUAAUACCGCAUAAAAACUUUAAACACAAGUUUUAAGUUUGAAAGAUGCAAUUGCAUCACUCAAAGAUGAUCCCGCGUUGUAUUAGCUAGUUGGUGAGGUAAAGGCUCACCAAGGCGAUGAUACAUAGCCGACCUGAGAGGGGGAUCGGCCACAUUGGGACUGAGACACGGCCCAAACUCCUACGGGAGGCAGCAGUAGGGAAUCUUCGGCAAUGGACGAAAGUCUGACCGAGCAACGCCGCGGGAGUGAAGAAGGUUUUCGGAUCGUAAAACUCUGUUGGUAGAGAAGAACGUUGGUGAGAGUGGAAAGCUCAUCAAGUGACGGUAACUACCCAGAAAGGGACGGCUAACUACGUG
rnacentral:rRNA from 1 species